rnacentral:rRNA from 1 species
CUCCGGUUGAUCCUGCCGGACCCGACUGCUAUCAGAGUGGGACUAAGCCAUGCGAGUCAACAUAGCAAUAUGUGGCAUACGGCUCAGUAACACGUAGUCAACAUGCCCAGGGGACGUGGAUAACCUCGGGAAACUGAGGAUAAACCGCGAUAGGUCAUCACUUCUGGAAUGGGUAAUGACUUAAAUCUAUAUGGCCCCUGGAUUGGACUGCGGCCGAUCAGGCUGUUGGUGAGGUAAUGGCCCACCAAACCUGUAACCGGUACGGGCUCUGAGAGGAGGAGCCCGGAGAUGGGCACUGAGACAAGGGCCCAGGCCCUAUGGGGCGCAGCAGGCGCGAAACCUCUGCAAUAGGCGAAAGCUUGACAGGGUUACUGUGAGUGAUUUCCGUUAAGGAGAUCUUUUGGCACCUCUAAAAAUGGUGCAGAAUAAGGGGUGGGCAAGUCUGGUGUCAGCCGCCGCGGUAAUACCAGCACCCCGAGUGGUCGGGACGUUUAUUGGGCCUAAAGCAUCCGUAGCCGGUUCUACAAGUCUUCCGUUAAAUCCACCUGCUUAACAGAUGGGCUGCGGAAGAUACUAUAGAGCUAGGAGGCGGGAGAGGCAAGCGGUACUCGAUGGGUAGGGGUAAAAUCCGUUGAUCCAUUGAAGACCACCAGUGGCGAAGGCGGCUUGCCAGAACGCGCUCGACGGUGAGGGAUGAAAGCUGGGGGAGCAAACCGGAUUAGAUACCCGGGUAGUCCCAGCUGUAAACGAUGCAGACUCGGUGAUGAGUUGGCUUAUUGCUAACUCAGUGCCGCAGGGAAGCCGUUAAGUUUGCCGCCUGGGGAGUACGGUCGCAAGACUGAAACUUAAAGGAAUUGGCGGGGGAGCA